AUUGAACGCUGGCGGAAUGCUUUACACAUGCAAGUCGAACGGUAGAGGGGGCAACCCCUCGAGAGUGGCGAACGGGUGAGUAAUAUAUCGGAACGUGCCCAGUCGUGGGGGAUAACGUAGCGAAAGUUACGCUAAUACCGCAUACGAUCUAAGGAUGAAAGCGGGGGAUCGCAAGACCUCGCGCGAUUGGAGCGGCCGAUAUCAGAUUAGGUAGUUGGUGGGGUAAAGGCUCACCAAGCCAACGAUCUGUAGCUGGUCUGAGAGGACGACCAGCCACACUGGAACUGAGACACGGUCCAGACUCCUACGGGAGGCAGCAGUGGGGAAUUUUGGACAAUGGACGCAAGUCUGAUCCAGCCAUUCCGGGUGCAGGAUGAAGGCCCUCGGGUUGUAAACUGCUUUUGUACGGAACGAAAAGGUCUCUCUUAAUACGGGGGACUCAUGACGGUGCCGUAAGAAUAAGCACCGGCUAACUACGUGCCAGCCGCCGCCGUAA
rnacentral:rRNA from 1 species